rnacentral:lncRNA from 1 species
CCCCAAACCCCCAGUGCCGUGACCCCAAAUUCCCAGUGCCAUGACCCCAAAUCCUCAGGGCGGAAUUCCCGGGAAAAGGGACAGAAUUCCCGGGUAAAGGGACUGGGCAGCGUCGUUUUUAUUCCUAAAAAACUGGGAAAGCGCAGGGAAGGGAAUUCCCGGCGCUGCGUUUUUGGGAAUUGCUGCCCUCCAACCCCUCUGAGGGUCCCGUGGAGUCCCGGAGCUGCUGGAAAUACCGGGAACGCCUCUGCCAACCGGGUUCUUCCCGGGAAUUCCCGACUGGAAUUUCCCCAAAUUGGGGAAAACCCCCCAGGAGCAAAAUCCCACUGGAGUGGAAAUGGGGGAAAUCCCCACAGGCCGUUUUGGGGGGGAAAUGGGAAAAACUUUGACAGCCCCGAGGUGCCCCUGGCCUGGGGGGCUGGUCCGGGUGUCCCCAGACUGUCCCGGGUGUCCCCAGGGCUGGUCCGGGUGUCCCCGGGGGCUGGUCCGGGUGUCCUCAGGAUUAUCCCGGGUGUCCCCGGACUGUCCCGAGUGUCCCCGGGGGUGAUCCAGGUGUCCCCAGGGCUGUCCCGAGUGUCCCCGGGGCUGGUCCGGGUGUCUCCGGGGCUAUCCCGGGUGUCCCCAGGGCUGUCCUGGGUGUCCCCGGGGUUGGUCCGGGUGUCCCCAGGGCUGUGCUGGGUGUCCCCGGGGCUGGUCCGGGUGUCCUCAGACUAUCCUGGGUGUCCCUGGGGCUAUCCCGGGUGUCCUCAGGGCUAUCCCGGGUGUCCUCAGGAUUAUCCCGGGUGUCCCCAGGGCUGGCCCGGGUGUCCCCCAGACUGUCCCAAGUGUCCCCAGGGCUGGUCCGGGUGUCCCCAGGGUCAUCUUGGGUGUCCCCAGGGCUGUCCCGGGUGUCCCCAGGGCUGGUCCGGAUGUCCCCAGGAUUAUCCCGGGUGUCCCCAGGGCUAUCCCAGGUGUCCUCAGGACUAUCCCGGGUGUCCCCAGACUGUCCCAAGUGUCCCCGGGGCUGUCCUGGGUGUCCCUGGGGCUGUCCUGAGUGUCCCCGGGGCUGGUCCAGGUGUCCCCGGGGCUAUCCCGGGUGUCCCCAGGGCUGUCCUGGGUGUCCACGGGGCUGGUCUGGGUGUCUCUGGGGCUGAUCCAGGUGUCCCCAGCCUGUCCUGA